UCCUUGGGCCUCAAGGGCACCAGGGCCUGACCCCAGCUCCCAGCAUGAAUAGGGUUGGUUUAAACCAGUCGGCAUGGCCCACAGUGACUGGUUUAGGCAUGGGCCUGUCACCCACACUGGGCCAAUGAUAUGUAAGAUGUUUAUUGUAGCUUCCGGGAUGGAAACUUCUCUGCCAGCUUGUGGGUUGGGCAAGGACGACACUCCGGGCCCUACCGGCGGAAGCUCUGCUCCUGUCGUGCGUGGACCACGCAGCAAAUGGCCUUGGAGGCUGCUGGCAGCCAUCUUGUGACCAUGAGGCAAGUCAGCGCAGGCCGAAGCUGACGACGCGAAGACAAUGAGGAGAGGGAGAAAGAGCCGAUCUUUGGCAUCUAAGCCGGGCACAUUGGCCCAAGCCUGUAAUCCCAGCACUUUGGGAGGCCGAGGCAGGCGGAUCACUUAAGCUCAGGAGUUCGAAACCAGCCUGGCCAAGAUGGUGAAACCCCAUCUCUACUAAAAAUACAAAAGAUUAGCCGGCUGUGAUGACGCGCACCUGUAAUCUCAGCUACUCGGGAGGCUGAGGCACGAGAAUCGCUUGCACCCAGGAGGUGGAGGCUGCAGUGAGCCGAGAUCACGCCAGGGCACUCCGGCCUGGGCGACAGAGUGAGACUUCGUCUCAAGAAAAACCAAAAAUCCAAAAGAACUACAGGCAUCGGCUGUGUCCCCACUAGGAAGCCGGAGGGGAGCAGGGCUGGGUGUGUCUUCUCUGGCUGCGUCCCUGCGGCCACAAGGCCUGUUCUUCCUCUGUGCCCCGCCUGCCAAGGACCCAGCCUUGUGAAGGAUGGAUGAAUGAAUCAUUGAGCAAAUGAAUGAGUGUGUGAACAGGGAGAGUCUGCAGCAGGGAGACCCCGGCAGCUUCGAGUAUGGAGGGGAGACUCUGGCCGCCUGAGAGCUGGCUGCCAGGUGCUGAGCCGCCCCAAGAAAAAGCCCUCGUGGCAAGAAACUGAGGCCUCCAGCCAGCAGUCAGGGACCCGAGGCCUGAGACGGUGGAGGGUGAGCUUGCAAAGGGACCCCACAGUCGGGCCUUGAGAGGCCCACGGGCCUGGCCCACACCUCGGCUGCAGCCUUGUGAAGGUCCCUGAGCAGGGGACCCAGACUUCUGUCCUACAGAAACUUGGAGAUAAUAAAUGCCUGCUCUUCUACGGCACUGAGUGUCGGGUGAUUUGUUACGGGCAGUAGACAGCUAAUACCUGCCCCUUAGGACACCAAGUCCUCGCCUCCUGGAGGCCCAAGCCCCAGGGAGCCAUGCCUGACUUGCCGCCUGUCGAUGGGCCACGCGUUCCUUGUUGAUGCCAUUCUGGGGUCCCCUCACCCUGACAUACUAGGAGCCAGUUCCGAGGGAGGCUCUUCUGCCACCAACCCUGGCCCAGGGGGACACUGAGCUCCUUGAUGCUGAGGGCCGGUGGUUCCUUAUCGCCUGGCGACCAGCGUGUCCUCCGGGUCCUUUUCCAAUACCAGCACCUCCCAGCUCAAAAACACAACCCAGCACUCCUGUUCCUCCGUCUCCCGGCCCUCCCUCGACACUGGGCCGAGGCAGCCUGUGCACCUGCCCCAAGCUCCCAGGAGCUGACCCAGCAGCGGAUUCGGCCUGGUUCCCGGCAUCCUUACCGGGAUUUGGAAAAUGCUCCUUUCAAUCAAUAAAGGCCCCACGCGGGCCUUCUUCCGCCCUCCCCUCCAGCAUCCUCCAUCUCCAUUUCCACCCGUCCUCCCCGUCCUGCCAGGCCGCAGCUCCUUGCAGAAUAACCCACACCCUCCAGUCGCAGGGACAGAACACCCUAGUUACUGGCCUAGAAUUUUGCGGGGGACGAGGACAGGCAGACCCUAAGGAGGACACUCGCCUCAGGUGAGACCUUUGCAAGGUCCCGGCAGUGGGAGCCACUCCCGCCACUGCGGAGGGAACAGAGGGCAGGGAUCUAAGAGGCUUCUACCCAAAUACCGCAUCCAGGUCAUAGCGUCCCACCCCCCGCUGCCACCGGGGCCCUGACUUCAACACGGGAGGCAGACCAGACGCCACCGCCCUGGGAUCAGAGCUUGGGCCCGAGGGUUGGCCCCGUCUGCACUCUGGCUUUCGGAAUGAGGCUCGCUGUCAAUGCUGUGGUGGAGCUGCAUUCGUUUCCGGGGCUUCUAUAACAAGGUGCCAUAGAACAGGGCUCCAACAGCAGCCCAUUCUCCCACUGUCCUGGAGGCUGGAAGUUCGAGACCAAGGUGCCUGCAGAGUUGGUUCCUCCUGAGGCCUUUCUCCCUGGCUUGUAGAUGGCCCUCUUCUCCUGACUCCUCACACAGAGUCAUCCCUCUGUGUGUAUCUGUGUCCUAGUCUCUCUUCUUUUUCUUUUCGCUUCUUCUUUUUUUUUUUUUGAAGACAGGGUCUCUCUCUCUCUGUCACCCAGGCUGGAGUGCAGUGGUGUUAUCAUAGCUCACUGCAGCCUAGACCUCCCAGGCUCAGGUGAUGCUCCUACCUCAGCCUCCCAAGUAGCUGGGACCACAGACAUGUGUCACCACACCCGACUAAUUUUUUAUAUUUUGUUGUAGAGAUGGGGUCUCACUAUGUUGCCCAGGCUCAACUGGCUUUAAGCCAUCCUCCCACCUCGACCUUCCAAAGUGUUGGGAUUACAGGUGUGAGCCACUGAGCCUGGCCCUUAUCUCUUUUUCUCAGGACACGACUCAGGCCGGGCGUGGUGGCUCAUGCCUAUAAUCCCAGCACAUUGGGAGGCCAAGACGGGCGGAUCACCUGAGGUCAGGAGUUCCAGACCAGCCUGGUCAGCAUGGUGAAACCCCGUCUCUACUAAAAAUAUAAAAAUUAGCCAGGUGUGGUGGCCAGCGCCUGUAAUCCCAGCUACUCGGGAGGCUGAGGCAGGAGAAUCGCUUGAACCCAGGAGGCGGAGGUUGCAGUGAGCCAAGAUCGCACCAUUGCACUCUAGCCUGGGUGACAGAGUGGGACUCCGUCUCAAAAAAUAAAAAAAGUGGGGGAUGGGGGUGGGGGUGGGGGUGGGCCAGGCGCGGUGGCUCACGCCUGUAAUCCCAUCACUUUGGGAGGCCGAGACGGGUGGAUCACCUGAGGUCAGAAGUUCGAGACCAGCCUGACCAACAUGGGGAAACUUCAUCUCUACUAAAAAAUACAAAAAUUAGCCGGGUGUGGUGGUGGGUGCCUGUAAUCCCAGGUGCUCAGGAGGCGAAGCAGAAGAAUCACUUGAACCCAAGAGGUGGAGGUUGCAGUGAGCCAAGCUCGUGACACUGCACUCCAGACUGGGUGACAGAGCAAGACUUCAUUUCAAAGGAAAAAAAAAACAAGGCCAGCGGUCAUGUGGGAACAGGACUCGCUGUAAUCCCCUCUUUAAAGGCCAUAUCUGUAAAUACAG
rnacentral:lncRNA from 10 species